GUAGGGAAUAUUGCGCAAUGGGGGAAACCCUGACGCAGCGACGCCGCGUGAGUGAUGAAGGCCUUCGGGUCGUAAAGCUCUGUUGCAGGGGAAUAAAAAAAUGAAGGUACCCUGUGAGGAAGGAUCGGCUAACUUCGUGCCAGCAGCCGCGGUAAGACGAGGGAUCCUAGCGUUGCUCGGAAUCAUUGGGCGUAAAGAGGGCGUAGGUGGCUUGGUAAGUCAGGUGUGAAAGCCCAGGGCUCAAGCCUGGAAGUGCAUUUGAUACUGCUGAGCUUGAGUGUCGGAGGAGUUACCGGAAUACCUGGUGUAGUGGUGAAAUACGUAGAUAUCAGGUGGAACACCGGAGGCGAAGGCGGGUAACUGGACGAACACUGACACUGAGGCCCGAAAGCGUGGGGAUCAAACAGGAUUAGAAACCCUGGUAGUCC
rnacentral:rRNA from 1 species